rnacentral:rRNA from 1 species
UACAGAGGUCUCAAGCGUUGUUCGGAUUCAUUGGGCGUAAAGGGUGCGUAGGCGGCGCGGUAAGUCGGGUGUGAAAUCUCGGGGCUUAACUCCGAAACUGCAUUCGAUACUGCCGUGCUUGAGGACUGGAGAGGAGACUGGAAUUUACGGUGUAGCGGUGAAAUGCGUAGAGAUCAGCAGGAAUACCCGUGGCGAAGGCGGCCCCCUGGGCCGUACCUGACGCUGAGGCGCGAAGGCUAGGGGAGCGAACGGG